AUGUUGUCUGUAGCUCUUCUGCUGCUGCUGGCAGCUGGAUCCUGUGUGAAGUGUGAGACACUGACACAACCAGCCUCUGUGACUGUGCAGCCAGGACACACUCUCACCAUCUCCUGUACUGUCUCAUACUCUGUUGGCACAUCUACCCACUGGGUCAGACAGCCUGCUGGACAAAGCCUGGAGUGGAUCGGUUAUCACUGUUCUGGAUGUACUGGAGCACGGAAAGAUUCACUGAAGAACAAGUUCAGUAUAAAUGUAGAUUCUUCAACCAAAACAGUGACUCUGACUGGACAGAACAUGCAGCCUGGAGACACUGCAGUGUACUACUGUGCUCGGGAGCCACAGUCACACAAAGUAUAUCUAGAGCUGUACCAAAACUCAUCAGAUUGUUAUUCACUAUAA